GAAAUGUCAAUGUGGGAAAAAGCGAUCUCGAGGUCCUUUACAAUCAGCUGAGCGAAAUCGUUGCCAACGGUUCGCCUUCCAGAGGAGAUGAAGGGAAUUCGCCAGGCGAACUCGCAGACCCCAAGCCAUAAAUGGGACCAAGAGGGCUUCUCCCGGAGAUCGCUGUAAGACCUUUCAAAGAUGCAGUGGCCCGUUACAGCAC